GAUGAACGCUGGCGGCGUGCCUAAUACAUGCAAGUCGAGCGAACGGACGAGAAGCUUGCUUCUCUGAUGUUAGCGGCGGACGGGUGAGUAACACGUGGAUAACCUACCUAUAAGACUGGGAUAACUUCGGGAAACCGGAGCUAAUACCGGAUAAUAUUUUGAACCGCAUGGUUCAAAAGUGAAAGACGGUCUUGCUGUCACUUAUAGAUGGAUCCGCGCUGCAUUAGCUAGUUGGUAAGGUAACGGCUUACCAAGGCAACGAUGCAUAGCCGACCUGAGAGGGUGAUCGGCCACACGGGAACUGAGACACGGUCCAGACUCCUACGGGAGGCAGCAGUAGGGAAUCUUCCGCAAGGGGCGAAAGCCUGACGGAGCAACGCCGCGUGAGUGAUGAAGGUCUUCGGAUCGUAAAACUCUGUUAGUAGGGAAGAACAUAUGUGUAAGUAACUGUGCACAUCUUGACGGUACCUAAUCAGAAAGCCACGGCUAACUACGUG
rnacentral:rRNA from 1 species